AACGAACGCUGGCGGCAUGCCUAACACAUGCAAGUCGAACGAGACCUUCGGGUCUAGUGGCGCACGGGUGCGUAACGCGUGGGAACCUGCCCUUAGGUUCGGAAUAACUCCCCGAAAGGGGUGCUAAUACCGGAUAAUGUCUUCGGACCAAAGAUUUAUCGCCUUUGGAUGGGCCCGCGUUGGUUUAGCUAGUUGGUAGGGUAAAAGCCUACCAAGGCGACGAUCCAUAGCUGUUCUGAGAGGAUGAUCAGCCACACUGGGACUGAGACACGGCCCAGACUCCUACGGGAGGCAGCAGUGGGGAAUAUUGGACAAUGGGCGAAAGCCUGAUCCAGCAAUGCCGCGUGAGUGAUGAAGGCCUUAGGGUUGUAAAGCUCUUUUACCCGGGAUGAUAAUGACAGUACCGGGAGAAUAAGCUCCGGCUAACUCCGUG
rnacentral:rRNA from 1 species